rnacentral:rRNA from 1 species
AGAGUUUGAUCAUGGCUCAGGAUGAACGCUGGUGGCGUGCUUAACACAUGCAAGUCGAACGGACAUAGAGGGGCUUGCUCCUCUAUGUUAGUGGCGGACGGGUGAGUAAUACAUAAGCAACCUGCCCCUGUGAGGGGGAUAACUGCUGGAAACGGCAGCUAAGACCGCAUAGGCAUACAUGACGCAUGUCGAGUAUGUUAAAUAUCCUACGGGAUAGCACAGGGAUGGGCUUAUGACGCAUUAGCUAGCUGGUGAGGUAGAGGCUCACCAGGGCGACGAUGCGUAGCCGGCCUGAGAGGGUGGACGGCCACACUGGGACUGAGACACGGCCCAGACUCCUACGGGAGGCAGCAGUGGGGAAUAUUGCACAAUGGAGGAAACUCUGAUGCAGCGACGCCGCGUGAAGGAAGAAGGUCUUCGGAUUGUAAACUUCUGUUGUCAGGGACGAUAAUGACGGUACCUGACGAGAAAGCCACGGCUAACUACGUGCCAGCAGCUGCGGUAAAACGUAGGUGGCAAGCGUUGUCCCGG